CUGGUUUUGUGUAUGUUGUGAGUAGCACAGGAAAUAACCAAGGAAGGGGCAAAAGUGACCCUUUAUUUCAUCUGUGAAAGCAAAAAGAGGUUUUAUGUGUUUUUUUUUUUGUUUGCUUGUUUUUUUAACCUCUGAAGAGAGAACCUGGGGAUAAGGGAUGUGAACAGCUAAACCAGACCAUACGGCGGGCUUCUACCACGCUUAUCUGACCUCCCUUUAAAGAGAGGAAAAUCAAAUAGCCUUGUCUGAGUUGUAAAGACUAGCUAGCAAGACUCUCGCUUUUAAAAAUAGACUAAGACUACUCUGGAGCAACUGGAAUACAAAUUAGCUCCUACAUUUCCAAGGACCUGCAUUGCCUGUGCUGCUUCAGACCCUGCAAGCUGCAUUGUGUGACUGGAUCCCAUCUAGAGCCUCCUAGUAAGUGACAUCAGUAACACUCAAUCUUUGUGAUUGUUUAAGAGACAACAAGGAUCAUAACUGUUCUUUUCAGAAAGAACAAAAUAAAAUAAGACAGAAAAACACAGGAGAAAAUGCGAAAGACAAGGGAGGAAACUUGGGCCGGGAGCAAGAGAAUUGGUACAGCAGCCAUAUCUAGCAGGUUCAAUUCCAAGCAGAUGGGCUCAUCCUCAAGACACAAACAGCGCUUCCAUGAAGCUAAGUGUGUGGACUCUUCAGAAUUAUAUCUGAAGCCUUAUGUGGACAUUAAAAAGCCCCAGCUGCCUUUUAUAAGUGUAAGGUUUUUUGUAUAUUUACACCUGGGCAAAUUUCCCUUUCUCCCAUUGUUAUAUGACAAUGUAAAGAAUUGCAGACUAACAUUGGAUAUGGAACUUUAUCAGAAUGAAGGGAAAUUAUCCUCUUCCUCCUUUCACUAUAAAGCUUCUACAUGGAACAGUCCCAGCCCCAUCCUGCCUGGCUUCUUGCUGUGGGGGUGAA